rnacentral:rRNA from 2 species
AUGCAAGUCGAGCGGGGGAAGGUAGCUUGCUACUGGACCUAGCGGCGGACGGGUGAGUAAUGCUUAGGAAUCUGCCUAUUAGUGGGGGACAACAUCUCGAAAGGGAUGCUAAUACCGCAUACGUCCUACGGGAGAAAGCAGGGGAUCUUCGGACCUUGCGCUAAUAGAUGAGCCUAAGUCGGAUUAGCUAGUUGGUGGGGUAAAGGCCUACCAAGGCGACGAUCUGUAGCGGGUCUGAGAGGAUGAUCCGCCACACUGGGACUGAGACACGGCCCAGACUCCUACGGGAGGCAGCAGUGGGGAAUAUUGGACAAUGGGGGGAACCCUGAUCCAGCCAUGCCGCGUGUGUGAAGAAGGCCUUAUGGUUGUAAAGCACUUUAAGCGAGGAGGAGGCUACUUUAGUUAAUACCUAGAGAUAGUGGACGUUACUCGCAGAAUAAGCACCGGCUAACUCUGUGCCAGCAGCCGCGGUAAUACAGAGGGUGCGAGCGUUAAUCGGAUUUACUGGGCGUAAAGCGUGCGUAGGCGGCUUAUUAAGUCGGAUGUGAAAUCCCCGAGCUUAACUUGGGAAUUGCAUUCGAUACUGGUGAGCUAGAGUAUGGGAGAGGAUGGUAGAAUUCCAGGUGUAGCGGUGAAAUGCGUAGAGAUCU